rnacentral:ribozyme from 11 species
UCUCUGCUUUCCUUUUUUCCGUCAGUUAGUAUUGCCGUCCCUUUCCAAUGACUACUGCUACUACUAUCGAGGUGCGAUGAAAAGAGGGAAGAAAGAGCGGGGGUAUUAAAAAAAGAAACAAGAAAAG